GCGACCCCCGGUCAGGCGGGAUUACCCGCUGAGUUUAA
rnacentral:rRNA from 2 species